rnacentral:rRNA from 1 species
GGACCAGACUCCUACGGGAGGCAGCAGUGGGGAAUAUUGCACAAUGGGGGGAACCCUGAUGCAGCGACGCCGCGUGGGUGAAGGAGAACUUCGGUACGUAAAGCCCUAUCAGCAGGAAAGAAAAUGACGGUACCUGACUAAGAAGCCCCGGCUAACUACGUGCCAGCAGCCGCGGUAAUACGUAGGGGGCAAGCGUUAUCCGGAUUUACUGGGUGUAAAGGGAGCGUAGACGGCAGUGCAAGUCGGGAGUGAAGGCCCGGGGCUCAACCCUGGGACUGCUCUGGAAACUGUAAAGCUGGAGUGCGGGAGGGGCAGGCGGAAUUCCGGGUGUAGCGGUGAAAUGCGUAGAUAUCAGGAGGAACACCGGCGGCGAGGGCGGCCUGCUGGACCGCGACUGACGUUGAGGCUCGAAAGCGUGGGGAGCAAACAGGAUUAGAUACCCGCGUACC